UGAUUGCCUCUUCAAACGGAACCCCCUUC
rnacentral:piRNA from 1 species